CAAUAACACAUAAACAAAGGGAAAAUCAAACAAAUAAACCAAAAACAACAACAACAGAGUAGUGACAAACAACAACAACAACAACAACAUGAUUUUACAGUGAAAAAGAUCAUAAAUGUACAGAAGACCUGAACAGUUUAUCAGCUUCGGCUUCUUCAUCAUGUGUGCAUGUUGUGUUUUUUUCACAGUCCAACCAAAUACUUUGGACAAGACGUGUCCGCGAAGACACUGAAGAUCUACCACCCUGAUUUCAUCCGUUACCUCAGAAACAGAUUUCUUCGCUCGAAUGCUCUGAAAACCAAAUAUAAGGACAUCUACCGUCCGUCCACUGGAGCUGUGAUGCUAUUGGCUGCUUUGCACACCUGCGACCAGGUGAGCGCGUACGGCUUCAUGACCCCCGACUACAGGAACUACUCGGACCACUACUACGACACCACCUUCCACCCGGUGGGCUUCUUCAUCAACCACGACCUGCGCAUGGAGAUGACGCUGUGGCAGCAGCUGCACCAGGCCGGCCUCCUGCAACUCUACAUGCACAAAUAACCCCCACCCCACCUGACCCCACCUGACCCCACCUGACCCCACCAGACCCCACCAGACCCCACCUGACCCCACCCCACCUGACCCCACCAGACCCCACCUGACCCCACCUGACCCCACCAGACCCCACCAGACCCCACCUGACCCCACCUGACCCCACCAGACCCCACCAGACCCCACCUGACCCCACCCCACCAGACCCCACCUGACCCCACCUGACCCCACCCCACCUGACCCCACCAGACCCCACCAGACCCCACCUGACCCCACCCCACCUGACCCCACCUGACCCCACCUGACCCCACCCGAGCGGGGCAGGAAGAGGAGGCAGGACGGCUAAAAAUGGACCGGUCUUCCACCGCCGCCUGGACGACUGCGAUCUGAGCGGAACCCCUGAAGGGAACGUGGACCUGCAGCUGCUACGACACAUUUGACUUUAUUUAUCUGGAAAAGGAAAGGAUUUUAUUUGGAAAAUGAAAAGUGUCACCACAAAGUUUAGACGUUUAUUUGAACUGGAUAAAGGUCACGGGAAAGUGAGAGGGAUUUAAUUUGGUUUUUUGGAAAGCACGGUUUUAUUUCUAGGUCCAAAUGGAUUCACUUUGUUCCGAAGUGAGUGUCACUUUGGGGAAAACCCCAGUGAAAAACCCACAGAAGCUGUGAAUUUAAUCAGCUUCAAUAUACAGUCUGUCAGCUAGCCUGGGAGUUAGCCACUGUUCGCACUAGUUUGAGUGUUUACAUGUAGAAUUUAGCGUUCUUUCAGUCACUCACUGCAUUUCUCCCCAGUGGGGCUUACAGCUGUGCAGGAAUGAGCGCCAAAAACAAACAAUAGAAAACAUUUAACAGCAAUAAAACCAGGACCUUAAAGACAGAAUACAAAGUGCUAGCGGUUAGCAUGAAGCUGAAUUUAACGGUAGCAUUGUAACAUUCCCUGCGGUCAGAAUUUUGAGUAUGUUAGCAUUAGCUCAACAGGUUCCAACCCUUAUUCAACUUCAUUUCAUCAUCUUUUUGUUUACCUGCAAAUGUAAUCCUCAGUCCAGCUGAAAACAAACCAAACAUGCAGCUUAUGCUAACCGCUAACAGUUAGCAUAAAGUAGCUAGUGCAAUACGUGGAGAAAAGUGUCUGAGAUUUCACAUAUUUUUCCUCCGUUUAACGGUUAUGAUUCCUCGAGUUCCUUUUGCAGAAACUUUGCGUUGUGUUUUUAGUGUAUUUAAUGGGUUUUCGUUAAUAGUCGGCGCACAUGAAUGAACUAAUGCAGGUCCACAAACAUAGACCAGAAGACUUCUACUGGAGAAAAAGUGUUUACUUCUACAUUUAACGGUCACUUUAGCUGUAAACAUCCCAUAAUUAAACAUUCAUUCACAUUGAAAACUCCAAAUGCAAUGACAUUCAGCUUUGACAGAAGUGUCUUCCAGGUUUCUCCUUCUUCUGCCUGUGGACACUUUGGUUCCUUCAGUUUGUAGAUGUGUGUGACAUCACUUUAGUGAAGACUCCAGCUCCAGUUCCAUAGAAAUAAAAAAAUAACAUAAAUUAGGUUUUAUAUCCGUGCCAUUUGAACCAAAUACUGAAUAUAAAGAACACAGACCUUUUUUUUGUUUUAGAAUUUAACCUGAUUUUUGUCUUUUUGUUCAAGUCCGUCUUGGUUUUCUUGGGUGUGAACAGUCUUUUGAGGUGGUUUUACAGAUGAAGAAGCCGUUGGUGAUUUGUUGCUUUUGUUCGUCUGUGGGUCACAUUCGCUGACGCUGAACAGAAAACUGUGCAAGUAAAUCUGUGUCAUCACAUUUAGAAUUAUAAAAGCCAUUCUAGGACUGAUUUUUUUUUUGCACUGAAAGUAAGUAUCUGAAGUUUUGCACCUGAAUGUUUUAAAUUCUAAAUUUAUGAACAUGGUUGAAUUCAGAGACAAAACAUUCAGAUACAAAAAAUUCAGUGUUUUUUAUCAUUCAAAAUCUGGUGACACAGGUUGACUUCCAUAUGAAGCAGCAGAUGUGGUGGAGUCCGCCUGUGCCUUUUGUUUUUGGGCCUUUUGUUUUUGGGCCUUUUGUUUUUGGGGCCUUUUGUUUUUGGGCCUUUUGUUUUUGGGCCUUUUGUUUUUGUGCCUUUUGUUUUUGGGCCUUUUGUUUUUGUGCCUUUUGUUUUUGUGCCUUUUGUUUUUGUGCCUUUUGUUUUUGGGCCUUUUGUUUUUGGGCCUUUGACUUCCUGUGGGACUCCGUUGGGCCUGUAAACCUUCACGCCUGCUUUCAGACUGACUUUUUACAGCGUGGUACAGUCGCUGUGGCUGAAGCUGAGGGUCCUGUUACUGUGACCAGGGACCGGACCGCCGUGGAGUCGCACCGCUGCUGCAAAUAUCCUCCUCCUUAAACAGACGCUGGGAGCGCUGCUGGCACUGGACUCCGCCCACUCCCACAUUCACCGCCAUGAUCUGGUUCUGUGGUUUUUACUGUGGAACACACCAGCCGUGACUGGAGCUGUCACAGGAGCACUGAGGCUGAAAGUGGGGUUAAAGCACAGGUGUCCAACAUACGGCCCGUGGACCCAAACCAGGCCAAAGGCUCCAAACUGGACCAAAGGCUCCAAACCAGGCUAAAGGCUCCAAACCGGGCCAAAGGCUCCAAACUGGACCAAAGGCUCCAAACCAGGAUAAAGGCUCCAAACCGGGCCAAAGGCUCCAAACUGGGCUAAAGGCUCCAAACCGGGCCAAAGGCUCCAAACUGGGCUAAAGGUUCCAAACUGGGCUAAAGGCUCCAAACCGGGCUAAAGGCUCCAAACCGGGCCAAAGGCUCCAAACCGGGCUAAAGGCUCCAAACUGGGCUAAAGGCUCCAAACCGGGCUAAAGGCUCCAAACCGGGCUAAAGGCUCCAAACCGGGCCAAAGGCUCCAAACUGGGCUAAAGGCUCCAAACUGGGCUAAAGGCUCCAAACCGGGCUAAAGGCUCCAAACUGGGCUAAAGGCUCCAAACUGGGCUAAAGGCUCCAAACCGGGCUAAAGGCUCCAAACCGGGCCAAAGGCUCCAAACUGGGCUAAAGGCUCCAAACCGGGCUAAAGGCUCCAAACCGGGCCAAAGGCUCCAAACCAGCGCAUGGGAUGAAAACACUGAAGACAUGAGCGGUCAGUGGUGUCCAGAUCCUGUGAGUUCAGGUUCCACAUCCAGACUAAUAUGAGCUAAAGUGGAUCAGAACCAGGAAAUAAGAACAGAAGAACCUGUAAAUAAGAACAACAAGCGUUUGUUUUCAUUUUAGUGUAAAAUGACAUGAAAAUGUUGACAUUACAAACUAUCCUUUUUAAAGAAAUGUGAACAGGAACAACCUGAAAUGUAUGAUUAAUAUACAAAGUACAAUUAAUGUCAUUAGCAUGAGCAGGAAAAGUGUGGAACUGUGAAUGUCCUGAACUUCCAUAAAUAACCUGGAACUUUGGAAAAAUCCGUUGAGUUUUAACGCUCUGCGUCCUGUGUGUCAUUUACUCAGUGGAUCUACAAACACCAUUUACUAACAGGCAGAAUGUUGGUUCAAAUCCCACUGAUUUCUCUGAAUAUCAGUUUGUUCAGAUUUGUUCAGAUUCUUCCCGUUGUUGGUGAUAGUUUAUAAAUGUAAACGUCAUUCUGUCAUUUUAGGGUUUUUACACUUAAAGGUUUGCAGUUGUUCUUCUGAUCCGCUUUCGAUCCUCUUUUUCUGAAUGUUGAACCUGAACUAUCGGACUUGAAGGCGUCUGCUUUGAAGGGACUGGACUUCUGUUCUUUUUUCUCAGAUCGGGCGUUUCGAACCCACUCUGUGCCUUUGAAUGGGAAUUUGGAUUUUCUGAUUAAAGUGGACGGUUUUGGCACCAUUAUGGCGUUUCCACGGCGACACAAAGGCGGCCUCUCCCGUUCUGCGUUUGUGUUGCCGAGGACGGGUCGGGCGGAAUCCGUCCUCACCUGGACGACGCUCCGGGCCCAGACAGCAAAGGGUCAAAGGUCACGGAGACUCUUCAGUGUUCCUGUUGUCACGGAGCAGCUCCAGGUCAGAUCCUGAAGGUGAGCAGCCCAAACCAAAGAGCAACACAACAGCAGGGACUCAGGCGCUCACGUUUAGGACCAGAGUCACAGCACAGACCGGGCUCUAGUUCUGAAACGGGGACGUUGACGGUGCAAUUUAACCUUUGGAAAUUAAAGAAAACUGUGAUUUUGUGUCUGCUGUGAUUGUGUUCUUUGUUCUGGUGAGAACGUGUCAGUGUGAUGAUGUUCUCACAGUUCACAUGGAGGUCAUACACAACACUCAGGUCAGGUGACAUUUAGUUCCUUUUGAUCUCAGCGACCAAUAGGCAACGAGCUGUUAGGGCCUGCUCUUCAUCAUCAUCAUCAUCAUCAUCUGGUCAGAUUCAUUCCAAAUAUUUUAUGGAUCUUCCUUUGGACAAAUGUCUGCAAAGUUUGUUUAGUUUUGACAAUUUUUUCAAAUAUUCUAAAUGUUCCUUUAGUUCUACUGGUCCACAUGUAGACGGUUCAGAACAUGGAAAUAGAAAUCUCAGUAUAGUUCCUGCUGAUCACUGAUAGAAGUCCUACUUUUGAAUGAACUGAGUCUUCAUGAAUAUCUAAACCAAAUAUUUAUUUAUUUAUGUAUUUUAAUAUUUUAUUUGGCAGUUUUCAGUUGUGUAAAACACACACACAAAAAACAGAAGGAAAAAAAAAAACCCUUGAAGGCUCAGAUGAGUGUAACAGCUGAUGAAUUCAUGAAGUCUCCAGUUGUUGUUCAAAGACAGGAGGAGGGUCCGAGGGCGGUCAGUGGGACAGAUGUGCUCCUGAACUUCCUCUGAGUUUGUGAGGAACACAGUCCAAGCUCUAGAAGCAGGUUCAGGUCCUCAGAACCCGGAGCUGUUCCAUCUGGAUUAAAGACGACGUAUGACCGACCCACGCUGGAGAAGAAGGAGGUCUGGACACGUCCAUUCUUUAACCCUUUCAUGCACACUGGUCACUCCAGUGGUCACUCCAGUGGUCACUCCAGUGGUCAGUUCUUCUCCAGCUGUUCUCUUGUAUAUUCAUGGGUUUGGUUGUUUCAGUUCCAGAUCACAGUGGACAGUAACGCGCCAUCCCAUAAUAAUGCAGGUCCAUUCAGACCAGGCCUGUGACUGUGCACUUCCACAUGAACCUGAUCCAACAGCUAGAGUUUCCCUUGCUGGUUUCAGACGCCGUGACGAUUUCACACAGUCUAACCUGCGAAGACUCCUUAAGGAAACCUUUUUGUGAACUGUUAACUCUGUCCAUGUUUAAUAAACACCCUUUAACUUUA